ensembl:lncRNA
UAUUUAGAAGAGAACAUUAAGUGAUUAGGAUCAGUAUGAUUGAUUAACUUACUUGUCCUUUACUUAGCAAUACAAUGAACAAUGAACAGUUUGAACGUUUGCAAUUCUGAAUUCUGGCAAUUAAUUUAAAAAGCUCUGGAUAAUAAUUUCAUGUACAGUAUUUUUUUGUAAGCUCUCCCUUUAUAAGUGCGCAUUGGAACACUUACCUCUUACCUCCACUCACUUGCAGAAAUGGAAGGCUCUAGUGAUAGUGGGAUUGAAAGCCACAGCACUGGAACUACCAUACCAAUUUCCAGAACUGACAGCGAUGAGCUUAGCUCAUCUGAUUCUCUUCCUCCUCCUCUACCACCUCCACCACUUCCUCCACCUAUUCCACCAGUUCCUCCUCCUCUUCCUCCUACACCACCCUCUCCUCUUCUUCAUGAUGAAGAUUAUUUUGCUGAUGAUGAAGAGGACUGAAUAACUUGUUUAAUAAUAUGUUGUUUUUUC